UUUAACGUUAACUUCGAGAUUAUUUUCUAACAAACUUUCCAAGAAUCUCAUUAUUUUUGUUGUUUCUCUGCUUAAAAAGAGUUUGGCAGCGCGCCUAAAAGCGUGUUUAGCUAUUGCGAAACAUUUGCAGAGAUGCUCAACCCACAAGACUUUCAGGCACUAAUUAAACGAUUAACUCAAGUGGAGCUUCAAUGGUCGCAACUUAAUUUACCGCAAACAACCGACGACAACAACAACAAUUGCAACAGUAUCUGUAUCUGUGCCCGCAACCGUAUCCAUUGCAGCUGUCCGAAAGAAGUUGCAAAAGUUUUCCAAGUGAAAUAUCAGUGGAAGAGCGCGUGUGAGUGAGUGAAUGAGGGAUGGGUGGAGCGGACGGGUGAGUGCAUCGCGCCGCAUGCACUUUGCACCCUGGCAACGGGGGCCAACUUGGGGGUGGAACUUGGCCAGCACUUUCGCUGGCUGGUAAAAGCCAACUAAGAAACCCGGUCACGUUAUGCACAUUUCGCUGCACUUGCGCCAGGACAGCGAGGAGCAUGAAAAACAAUAAGCGAACUGGGAGCCGGCUCGCCCGCAAAAAGGACAACGUGCACGUACAAAGGC